GAUGAACGCUGGCGGCGUGCCUAACACAUGCAAGUCGAACGGGACUUAAUUAGCUUGCUAUUUAAGUCUAGUGGCGGACGGGUGAGUAACGCGUGAGCAAUCUGCCCCGAAGAGGGGGACAACACUGGGAAACCGGUGCUAAUACCGCAUAAUAUAUAUGGACCGCAUGGAACAUAUAUCAAAGGAGAAAUCCGCUUUGGGAUGAGCUCGCGUCUGAUUAGCUGGUUGGCAGGGUAACGGCCUACCAAGGCGACGAUGGGUAGCCGGCCUGAGAGGGUGUACGGCCACACUGGGACUGAGAUACGGCCCAGACUCCUACGGGAGGCAGCAGCUAAGAAUAUUCCGCAAUGGACGAAAGUCUGACGGAGCGACGCCGCGUGGAUGAAGAAGGCCGAAAGGUUGUAAAGUUCUUUUGCUAGGGGAGAAUAAGUGAGGGAGGGAAUGCCCUCAUGAUGACAAGGACUAGCGAAUAAGCCCCGGCCAACUACGUG
rnacentral:rRNA from 1 species